ACUGUAACAGCCUCUAGCUUUGGACCCCACUUGUAACAAACUUUCGAAUGAAAGAAGUGACUCUAUACGGCUGGGUUUACAACUAUGAUCAAAGCGACUCAUAAACCAGAAUACAAUUUUAGAUCUCCCAAUCAGAUUUCAUAUGACCAGAACCUUCUGAUUUCCAUGGAGUCUUUCCGACCAACUCUCUACAAUUUUAAUUAACAUUUUGAAGUUUCUACGUACAUUUAUCGUCCUUUUUAUAAACCAUAGUUUGUUUCCACACAAGAAAUUUAUAUCUAUCUAUCUAUAUAUAAAAAACUGUUUACUCUUUUCAGAACACGAUACGUCGGAUUCCACGUCAGAAAGUUGAAGGCUGUUGUCGCGAUACGUGUCUACUCACACAGUAUUUCAUUUAACUAAAGGAAAGAGAAUUUUGUGGGUUUCUCGUAAUCAAAAGAAUUAAAGCCCAAACAUUAGAAGCCCUUUCAGUCUUCUUCCAGAAGUCCUUUCGGUCUUCUUCCCCGACCUUAAAAGAAAUAUUUUGCGUUCUCUUAUACCAUCAAUGGCGUCACGAGAUAUUGGAUGACCAAAAUCAAGAUGAAAAAUCUCUUUGUUUGUCUCCAUUCGUGUCGUUUAGCCUUCUACUUUACUCAACCGAAACGGUCCGAGUCACAGCCAUCGCCUUCUUACUCUAUACACCGACAUGAAGCACGAUCUGACAUUGAUUAUGAAUUGUGCCUCUGCAAGGCGGUUUAUUCUACACCUAUAAAAAUGAUCUUCCAACUCUUAUGCUAGAAAAUACAGUUUUUGAUGUUCUCAAAAUUCUUAGUUGGUAAGGAAUCCAACAAUCAACACGGUCUUUUUGAUUUCUAUAGGCUUUUCUUAUAUGUAGUUUCAUGAUGUCUUAAAGUAAAUAUUUACUUUUUCUGUAUAUGUAAAAAAACAUCUGAUUCUCAUACAUUGCAAAGCCGGAAACGUAAUAUACUCCUUAUUGCUUUUCAUCUCUUGAGAACCAGCAAUAGAAGAUUGUGACUGAGAUCUUACCGUCAAAGAAAUUCUACAAAGCUGAAGAAUACCAUCAGCAUUACCUCUCCAAAGGUGGGAAUAGUGGCCAUGCACAGUCCCCUUCAAAGAGCUGCAAGGACUCUAUCAGCUGCUUUGGCUGAGGAAAAGCUUUUGCUCCUCUUCCACCAAAACAGAGGAUUCUCAGAGAAUAUCUAUCUGUUUGUGUGUGUGUGUUGAUUUGUAAGUCUCAGUUAAUAAUAAAGAUGCAUGUGUGAUCAAAAGAUAAUUUUUGAGCCA